GUUGCAGGGUAUAGACCCGAAACCCGGUGAUCUAGCCAUGGGCAGGUUGAAGGUUGGGUAACACUAACUGGAGGACCGAACCGACUAAUGUUGAAAAAUUAGCGGAUGACCUGUGGCUGGGGGUGAAAGGCCAAUCAAACCGGGAGAUAGCUGGUUCUCCCCGAAAGCUAUUUAGGUAGCGCCUCGUGAAUUCAUCUCCGGGGGUAGAGCACUGUUUCGGCUAGGGGGCCAUCCCGGCUUACCAACCCGAUGCAAACUGCGAAUACCGGAGAAUGUUAUCACGGGAGACACACGGCGGGUGCUAACGUCCGUCGUGAAGAGGGAAACAACCCAGACCGCCAGCUAAGGUCCCAAAGUCAUGGUUAAGUGGGAAACGAUGUGGGAAGGCCCAGACAGCCAGGAUGUUGGCUUAGAAGCAGCCAUCAUUUAAAGAAAGCGUAAUAGCUCACUGGUCGAGUCGGCCUGCGCGGAAGAUGUAACGGGGCUAAACCAUGCACCGAAGCUGCGGCAGCGACGCUUAUGCGUUGUUGGGUAGGGGAGCGUUCUGUAAGCCUGCGAAGGUGGCCUGUGAGGGUUGCUGGAGGUAUCAGAAGUGCGAAUGCUGACAUAAGUAACGAUAAAGCGGGUGAAAAGCCCGCUCGCCGGAAGACCAAGGGUUCCUGUCCAACGUUAAUCGGGGCAGGGUGAGUCGACCCCUAAGGCGAGGCCGAAAGGCGUAGUCGAUGGGAAACGGGUUAAUAUUCCCGUACUUGGUGUUACUGCGAAGGGGGGACGGAGAAGGCUAUGUUGGCCGGGCGACGGUUGUCCCGGUUUAAGCGUGUAGGUGUGUGUUCCAGGUAAAUCCGGUUCACUUUAACACUGAGGCGUGACGACGAGGCACUACGGUGCUGAAGCAACAAAUGCCCUGCUUCCAGGAAAAGCCUCUAAGCAUCAGGUAACAUCAAAUCGUACCCCAAACCGACACAGGUGGUCAGGUAGAGAAUACCAAGGCGCUUGAGAGAACUCGGGUGAAGGAACUAGGCAAAAUGGUGCCGUAACUUCGGGAGAAGGCACGCUGACACGUAGGUGAAGUGAUUUACUCAUGGAGCUGAAGUCAGUCGAAGAUACCAGCUGGCUGCAACUGUUUAUUAAAAACACAGCACUGUGCAAACACGAAAGUGGACGUAUACGGUGUGACGCCUGCCCGGUGCCGGAAGGUUAAUUGAUGGGGUCAGCGCAAGCGAAGCUCCUGAUCGAAGCCCCGGUAAACGGCGGCCGUAACUAUAACGGUCCUAAGGUAGCGAAAUUCCUUGUCGGGUAAGUUCCGACCUGCACGAAUGGCGUAAUGAUGGCCAGGCUGUCUCCACCCGAGACUCAGUGAAAUUGAACUCGCUGUGAAGAUGCAGUGUACCCGCGGCAAGACGGAAAGACCCCGUGAACCUUUACUAUAGCUUGACACUGAACAUUGAGCCUUGAUGUGUAGGAUAGGUGGGAGGCUUUGAAGUGUGGACGCCAGUCUGCAUGGAGCCGACCUUGAAAUACCACCCUUUAAUGUUUGAUGUUCUAACGUGGACCCGUUACCCGGGUUGCGGACAGUGUCUGGUGGGUAGUUUGACUGGGGCGGUCUCCUCCUAAAGAGUAACGGAGGAGCACGAAGGUUGGCUAAUCCUGGUCGGACAUCAGGAGGUUAGUGCAAUGGCAUAAGCCAGCUUGACUGCGAGCGUGACGGCGCGAGCAGGUGCGAAAGCAGGUCAUAGUGAUCCGGUGGUUCUGAAUGGAAGGGCCAUCGCUCAACGGAUAAAAGGUACUCCGGGGAUAACAGGCUGAUACCGCCCAAGAGUUCAUAUCGACGGCGGUGUUUGGCACCUCGAUGUCGGCUCAUCACAUCCUGGGGCUGAAGUAGGUCCCAAGGGUAUGGCUGUUCGCCAUUUAAAGUGGUACGCGAGCUGGGUUUAGAACGUCGUGAGACAGUUCGGUCCCUAUCUGCCGUGGGCGCUGGAGAACUGAGGGGGGCUGCUCCUAGUACGAGAGGACCGGAGUGGACGCAUCACUGGUGUUCGGGUUGUCAUGCCAAUGGCACUGCCCGGUAGCUAAAUGCGGAAGAGAUAAGUGCUGAAAGCAUCUAAGCACGAAACUUGCCCCGAG
rnacentral:rRNA from 1 species